GGAAUUGACGGGGGCCCGCACAUGCGGUGGAGCAUGUGGUUUAAUUAGAAGCAACGCGAAGAACCUUACCAGGUCUUGACAUCCCGUGACAACUCUAGAGAUAGGGCUUUCCCCUUCGGGGGACACGGUGACAGGUGGUGCAUGGUUGUCGUCAGCUCGUGUCGUGAGAUGUUGGGUUAAGUCCCGCAACGAGCGCAACCCUUGAUCUUAGUUGCCAGCAUUAAGUUGGGCACUCUAAGGUGACUGCCGGUGACAAACCGGAGGAAGGUGGGGAUGACGUCAAAUCAUCAUGCCCCUUAUGACCUGGGCUACACACGUGCUACAAUGGAUGGUACAAAGGGCAGCAAAACCGCGAGGUUAAGCCAAUCCCAUAAAACCAUUCUCAGUUCGGAUUGCAGGCUGCAACUCGCCUGCAUGAAGCCGGAAUCGCUAGUAAUCGCGGAUCAGCAUGCCGCGGUGAAUACGUUCCCGGGCCUUGUACACACCGCCCGUCACACCACGAGAGUUUGUAACACCCGAAGUCGGUGGGGUAACCGUAAG
rnacentral:rRNA from 2 species